AUACCAGCACCCCGAGUGGUCGGGACGAUUAUUGGGCCUAAAGCAUCCGUAGCCGGUACUGCAAGUCUUCCGUUAAAUCCACCUGCUCAACAGUUGGGCUGCGGGGGAUACUACAGCGCUAGGAGGCGGGAGAGGCAAGCGGUACUUAAUGGGUAGGGGUAAAAUCCACUGAUCCAUUGAAGACCACCAGUGGCGAAGGCGGCUUGCCCGCACGCGCUCGACAGUGAGGGAUGAAAGCUGGGGGAGCAAACCGGAUUAGAUAGCCGGGUAGUCCCUGCGGUAAACGUUGCAGACUCGGUGAUGGGCUGGCCUUGUGCCAACCCAGUGCCGCAGGGAAGGCGUUAAGUCUGCCGCCUGGGGAGUACGAUCGCAAGACGGAAACUCAAAUGAAUUGGCGUGG
rnacentral:rRNA from 1 species